rnacentral:rRNA from 1 species
AUUGAACGCUGGCGGCAGGCCUUACACAUGCAAGUCGAACGGUAACAGGAAGAAGCUUGCUUCUUUGCUGCCAAGGGGCGGACGGGUGAGCAAUGCCUGGGCAACUGCCUGAUGGAAGGGGAUAACUACUGUAAACGGUAGCUAAUACCGCAUAACGUCGCAAGACCAAAGAGGGGGACCUUCGGGCCUCUGGCCAUCGGAUGUGCCCAGAUGGGAUUAGCUAGUAGGUGGGGUAACGGCUUACCUAGCCGACGAUCGGUAGCUGGUCUGAGAGGAUGACCAGCCACACUGGAACUGAGACACGGCCCAGACUCCUACGGGAGGCAGCAGUGGGGAAUAUUGCACAAUGGGCGAAAGCCUGAUGCAGCCAUGCCGCGUGUAUGAUGAAGGCCUUCGGGUUGUAAAGUACUUUCAGAGGGGAGGAAGGGAGUAAAGCUAAUACAGUGGCUCAAUGACGGUACCGGAAGAAGAAGCACCGGCUAACUCCGUG